rnacentral:tRNA from 1 species
GCCUGGGUGGCUUAGUAGGUUAAGCCAUCAACUCUUGAUUUCAGUUCAGGUCAUGCUCUUAUGGUUUGUGGGUUCAAGUCCCAUGUCAGGCU